rnacentral:rRNA from 1 species
UUUUCCGUUUGAUCCUGCCGGACCCGACUGCUAUUUGGGUGAGGAUAAGCCAUGCAAGUCGAAUGGGAUACCUAAAUUUCCCAUGGCAAACUGCUCAGUAACACAUGAUCAACUUACCCUAUGGAGAAAAAUAACCUCGGGAAACUGAGGAUAAUAUUUCAUAGUUGAAUAGGCUUGGAAAAGUUUUUCAAUAAAAUGGAUGAGAAAAAUGGUUCUUUUCCGCCAUAGGAUAGGAUCGUGGUCGAUUAUGGUUGUUGGCGAGGUAAAGGCUCACCAAGCCGAUAAUCGAUAGGGGCCGUGAGAGCGGGAGCCCCGAGAUGGGUACUGAGACAACGACCCAGACCUUACGAGGUGCAGCAGGCGCGAGACCUCCGCAAUACACGAAAGUGUGACGGGGUUACCCAAAGUGUUCAUUUUUGAACUGUGGUAGGUGAGUAAUGUUCCCUACUAGAAAGGAGAGGGCAAGGCUGGUGCCAGCCGCCGCGGUAAAACCAGCUCUUCAAGUGGUCGGGAUGAUUAUUGGGCUUAAAGUGUCCGUAGCCGGUUUAGUAAGUUCCUGGUAAAAUCAGGUAGCUUAACUAUCUGUAUGCUAGGAAUACUGCUAUACUAGAGGGCGGGAGAGGUCUGAGGUACUAUAGGGGUAGGGGUGAAAUCUUAUAAUCCUUGUAGGACCACCAGUGGCGAAGGCGUCAGACUGGAACGUGCCUGACGGUGAGGGACGAAAGCCAGGGGAGCGAACCGGAUUAGAUACCCGGGUAGUCCUGGCCGUAAACGAUGCAUACUAGGUGAUGGCCCGGCCAUGAGCCGUGUCAGUGCCGUAGGGAAACCGUUAAGUGUGCCGCCUGGGAAGUACGGUCGCAAGGCUAAAACUUAAAGGAAUUGGCGGGGGAGCACCACAAGGGGUGAAGCCUGCGGUUCAAUUGGAUUCAACGCCGGGAAUCACUAGU